rnacentral:RNase_P_RNA from 1 species
UGCGUAGGCUAGGUGACCGCGAGCAUAGUGCCGUAAGGCCGUGUUCGAGGAAAGUCCGGGCUCCACAGGGCAGGGUGCUGGCUAACGGCCAGUGGGGGCAACCCUAAGGACAGUGCCACAGAAAUGAAAACCGCCGCCUAUAGGCGGUAAGGAUGCAACGGUGAGGUAAGAGCUCACCAGCGGUCAGGUGACUGACCGGCUAGGUAAACCCCACCUGGAGCAAGACCUAGUAGGAGAAGGAUGACGCUGCCCGCCGACUUCUCGGGUAGGUCGCAGGAGAUGCUGGGUAACCAGUAUCCUAGAUAGAUGGUCACCCACGACAGAACCCGGCUUACAGGCCUACGCACAAA